UUGGCUAAAGCCUGUUCUUACCAGAAGGUGAAAUGAAGACGAUUCCUUUUGUUCGGUCCCCUCCACUCCUAAACUCUGUCUAGAGCAGGGGUGGGCUCCCUCCUUGUCUGUGCCGCCCACUCGCCUCCUCGCCUCCUGUCGCCUCCACUCCUGACCCCCAUCCAGAGUGUGGGAUGCUGGGUUGCCGGUGACCAUGGGGAGCCGUAAGUGGAGCAGUCACCACCGCACCCUCCCCGUAGCUCCAUCCCCACGCGUCCAGGAUAGCGUGGCCGCUGGUCAGCUGCCGACAGCACACAUAAGAAGUCAUGGAUGGGUCCGAGCGGCUUCCAGGACUCAGCACCCAAAGCAGCCCCGUCCUGACGGUAACAAGCCUGCCCCAUGGGGCGAGGCCCUCUCCCCUCUUCCUCAGAUUCACCCAACCCACUUCUGUCUGUCAAGAGCAGGCUUGAGGAACAGUCAAGCUUGAGUUCUCUUGGCCUUUCCUGGACAUCUGUCCUGAGGCUGCUCUCAUUUAAGCCUCACGGAGGAAACCCAAGUUUCUGCAGCAGGAGAGGGGCGUGACCCCAGGGACAGCCGGAGAAGACGGUGUAGAACCAGCUGUCACGGAGCCUGAUGUCCGGCCUGGAGCAUCAGCCCAUCACCUUCAGAGUGGACCCGAGGGCCUCACCUGCCACCUGGGGGACAGGUGAGAGGCGGCCAAGGACCCCAGACGAUGAGGGGCAGAGUGUCUGCACUUGUCACCAAAGGCUUCCAGGGAAAAGCGGGGAUGUGUGGACAGGAAGGGGCCGGCGGGUGGGAUCAGGGCACUGGGCGAGCCAGCUUCCAGUUAUGGGGGCUGCGGGCAGGGGAAACUCGAGCCCCUUGCGGCUCCAGCCUUGCCAGGGAGCCCGAGAGCUGGGCUGGCACGCCGCUCUGUGAAGGGCUGGACGGUGUGCUUCAGGCCUCGAGGUCACUCUGCCUCUGGUGCAAACGCUCACCUCUGCCGCUGUGGCCCAGAGCAGCCUUCGACCCACGUGAUGAGUGUGUGUGGCUGUGUCCCCACAUCUCCUUGUUUAUGGAUGCUAAAAUUUGAAUUUCCUAUAAGUUUCACAUGUCACAAAAUAGUCUCUUGAUUUUCCAACUAUUUAAAGAUAUAAACAUCAUUUUUAGCCCUCUGUUGGACAAAAACAGAGGCUGACUUGGGCCCUAGAGCUGUAACUUCUACCUCUGCCUUAGAUGACUCUUUUUAAAGCAUUCUAGCUGGGCCUGGUGGUUCCCACCUGUGGUCCCAGCUACUCAGGAGGCUGAGGCACGAGGACCUCUGGGUCUGAGAGUUCGAGGCUGUAGUCAGCCGUGACUGCACCCAGCCUGGGUGACAGAGCGAGACCCUCUCUCAGUAACUAAAUAAAUAAAAGACAAAAAGA